UACGUAGGGUGCAAGCGUUGUCCGGAAUUAUUGGGCGUAAAGAGCUCGUAGGUGGCCUGUCGCGUCGGCUGUGAAAACUCGGGGCUCAACUCCGAGCUUGCAGUCGAUACGGGCAGGCUAGAGUUCGGCAGGGGAGACUGGAAUUCCUGGUGUAGCGGUGAAAUGCGCAGAUAUCAGGAGGAACACCGGUGGCGAAGGCGGGUCUCUGGGCCGGUACUGACGCUGAGGAGCGAAAGCGUGGGGAGCGAACAGG
rnacentral:rRNA from 1 species